UUGUGGCUCAGUGGCAGAGCGCAUGCCUAGCAUGUGUGAGGCACUGGGUUCUAUCCACAGACCACAUAAA
rnacentral:tRNA from 1 species